rnacentral:rRNA from 1 species
GAUGAACGCUGGCGGUAUGCUUAACACAUGCAAGUCGAACGGUCACUUCGGUGAUAGUGGCGGACGGGUGAGUAACGCGUGAGAAUCUGUCUUCAGGUCGGGGACAACAGUUAGAAAUGACUGCUAAUACCGGAUGUGCCGAAAGGUGAAAGAUUUAUUGCCUGAAAAAGAGCUCGCGUCAGAUUAGCUAGUAGGUGGUGUAAGAGACUACCUAGGCGACGAUCUGUAGCUGGUCUGAGAGGACGAUCAGCCACACUGGAACUGAGACACGGUCCAGACUCCUACGGGAGGCAGCAGUGGGGAAUUUUCCGCAAUGGGCGAAAGCCUGACGGAGCAAUACCGCGUGAGGGACGAAGGCUUUUGGGUCGUAAACCUCUUUUAUUAGGGAAGAUUUCAGGACGGUACCUAAUGAAUAAGCAUCGGCUAACCCUGUGCCAGCAGCCGCGGUAAU